GGAUGGCAAGGUCCUGAAACAGGGGCCGUGUCUUUGUGACUUUGCAUCUCAGCACCUAGCGUGAUGCCUGGGCUCAUGAAUGAGCCAUUCAUGACACAGGAUGUGUUGUAACUUAGGUUGGCUCAGUGGGUUAUGAUCCACCUGGCUCCCUGUCAUGCCAGGCUGGCCUGGAGUGGAACUGCAUAACUGUCAUUAGAAUGGCUGCAUUGAUCUCCUGCAAAAGCCAGAGAUGACUUUCGUCCCUCUGGAAAGUCACUGCUUAUUGGACCCUUCCAAACCAGCUAUCAAAUUGGUGGCAUUGCCAAUAAAGAUUAAGUGUUCAGAGGAGGAGUAAGUAUCUUGAAGUGGAGAUUGAAAUUGAUUCGUGGAAGAGAUGCUCUCAGCUGGAAAGAAAGGGGAUUCUCAUGGUUCAAAGUGACUACUGGAGCUUCAGCUGUUAAGUUCAUAUUCCAGCCAGUAGAAAGGAGAAGAGAAGGAGAAGGAGAAUGAUAUGCUUCCUGCCUUUAAGGAUGCUCCCUGGAAGCUGUACAAUCAACUUCUGCCUCUAACGUAUGGGCCACAGAGGUCCUUGUCUACACCAUUGGAUUUAGCUCCAAAUCCAGUCUAUCUUGCCCUGUUUACUGUGGACUCAUGCAUGCUAGUCCAACUACAUUAACCGAAAUAAAUUUAAAGUAUGUGAUAUGGGCAGCUUCAAAGGAAAAGAAGUUACCAAAAGAGAAAGAGGAAGAGACUGGAGAGAAGAUGGCGAUGGUGCAUGCUUGUGUGGCACUGUGUUUAUCUGGAGAAGCAUUAAAAAAAGAAUAUGGGAAGAAUCAGUUGAUGAGUCUGACAUGGAAAGAAGCUUCGGGAAGCAGCCAUCAACCAGAGAGGAGGGAACAAAAAUAAGGGUUUGUGGAUGAGGG
rnacentral:lncRNA from 1 species